AUGAACGCUGGCGGCGUGCCUAAUACAUGCAAGUCGAGCGAACAGACGAGGAGCUUGCUCCUCUGACGUUAGCGGCGGACGGGUGAGUAACACGUGGAUAACCUACCUAUAAGACUGGGAUAACUUCGGGAAACCGGAGCUAAUACCGGAUAAUAUAUUGAACCGCAUGGUUCAAUAGUGAAAGACGGUUUUGCUGUCACUUAUAGAUGGAUCCGCGCCGCAUUAGCUAGUUGGUAAGGUAACGGCUUACCAAGGCGACGAUGCGUAGCCGACCUGAGAGGGUGAUCGGCCACACUGGAACUGAGACACGGUCCAGACUCCUACGGGAGGCUGCAGUAGGGAGUCUUCCGCAAUGGGCGAAAGCCUGACGGAGCAACGCCGCGUGAGUGAUGAAGGUCUUCGGAUCGUAAAACUCUGUUAUUAGGGAAGAACAAAUGUGUAAGUAACUAUGCACGUCUUGACGGUACCUAAUCAGAAAGCCACGGCUAACUACGUG
rnacentral:rRNA from 1 species